rnacentral:lncRNA from 1 species
GGGGGAGUCUCGAGUCCUGCUCGACAGCACCCCCUGGUGGGGAGCUGGGCACUAAACUCUGGCUUCAUGGCUGGGCUCCCGGCCCCUUGCCCCCCCUCCAGAUCGCCAGGACCUGGAGCAGGCCGACAAGGUGGACAAGCUGCAGGAGCCGCUGCUGGAGGCGCUGAAGAUCUACGUGAGGAAGAGGAGGCCCAACAAGCCCCACAUGUUCCCCAAGAUGCUGAUGAAGAUCACGGACCUGCGCAGCAUCAGCGCCAAGGGCGCCGAGCGGGUGAUCACGCUGAAGAUGGAGAUCCCCGGCUCCAUGCCGCCCCUCAUCCAGGAGAUGCUGGAGAACUCGGAGGGCCUGGACACGCUGGGCGGGCAGCCGGGCGCCUCCCGCGUGAGCAGCCUGGCGCCGCCCCCCGGCAGCUGCAGCCCCAGCCUGUCGCCCAGCUCCAACAGAAGCAGCCCGGCCACCCACUCGCCGUGACGCCGCGGCCGGCGCCGGCGUCAGGACGCCGUUCUUGCUCUUUGCUGCCAGGCCCGAGGGCCGCAUGGCAAGCCAAGGAGGAGGGGGAGGAGGUGACGCUGCCGCGGGCCACCCCCCUCCUCCGGGCCCCAGCCCGUUCCUGUCCGUAUCAGCACACACUGUGGCCAUGGCUUCCCUGUUGACUUGUGACGGACUCUUCCGUAGAAUCAGAAGUGGAUCCCGUGGGCACUGCCAGGGGGCACUGAGCCCUCGCUGGGAUCAGCUGGGGCCGGUUUACAGACCCCCAGCGACUGAUGUUUGUACCCAGGUUGGAGCAAACUAGCGCCCCGCUCCCCCCCACUCUCACCCCCCCCAGCGCGCUGUCGCAGGGGUCCGGCCCACGGCUGGGGGGCGCUGCACCCAUGUGAAGAUGAAGUGUCUUUUGGUUGAGUUGCAUUUCAAGUGUUUCCGGGGGGGUUGGGGGGAGAGGGUCAGUUUGGGAAACGUUAGUUGUUUUUUAAAAUUUUCAUGAGCAAAAUCGAUCAGCGGAUUGUGGCCGUCACGCGCACCCCCACACACACCAUGUUCCCCCCACACACACACACGCCUGUCGUCACCAGCAAAACCAACAACAAUCCAAUUCGCUUGUCAGGUAAAACCAGAAACACCCGCCAGGAACCAGAGGCCGAUUCAUUGCAAAGCCAGACAAAGCCAGAUUAUAUAUCUAUAAAUAGCUAUAAAUAUCUAUAAAUACCUUUUAAAAACUUUGUAAAAGUCGGGAGGGGUUUUUAGAGACGUGCUGCGGUUGGCAAGGGGGGGUCCCGGAUCUGGAUGUGAAGUGGGGGCGGGGAGGGGGCUGGGG